GGAAAAGAACACGUUAAGUUUUCAGGAGAUCAAAUUCCUUCCAGAACUGAUGGACUGUAGGAUUACUCAACAAACAAAAAGCAGGAAUUUUAAAAAAAUGAAAGUGUUCACAGAUCUUUCUCUUUAAAAAAAGACUAAUGAGACAGUGUUCGUGUAAUAUUUCAGUUCCAUGGAUUUACAGACAGGCUCUUCCUACAGGUGUUUGAAGCAAGGUAGGGCCUCUUCUAUUCCAGCAGCAUGAAAGACAAAGACUAUAUUACAUCACACUUAGCAGGUAAAGCUAACAGGGUUUACAGGAUUACACAGCAAUUGCUUUCUCCAGUUUUUUCACGGUUCCUUUGACCUUGAGAAUUUGGUUCUGGCAAUGUCUCUCUAGCCACCAAAUGCAUCACUGUUGUUUUGCCAAAAGGAAGUUUUAAUGCUCCUAGUGUCACAUUGCCAUGAAGAAACCUCCCUUGAUAAAUAAGCCGCAAGAUAUUUGGACUGCUGACUUGUUCUUCUUCCCAAUCCAUCGGCCAGUUGUCAUACACAUGUUUUGCAAUAUCUGCAGCAGAGUCAUUUGGUGAGAAUAAGAACUCUUUCGUUUUUCCGCUUACCAAGAUGAGGCGCAAAUUUAUCAUGUCAGCCGGAACGCUGCUGGACAUCUUGAUAUCCCUCUGACGCUUUAACACCAACUUUGAAAGCAGAACGAGAAGCACCGAGCGGAGAUCCCCGGCCCGAGGCCGGCGUGGGGCGGCGGGGCCCUGCGGAGCUCCGGGCCGCGGGGCUGUGCCGGGGGCGGCGGCUCCGUCAGCGGCGGUGCCAGGCGGGGCGGGCAGCACUGCGCCGCGACAUGGGCUGCGCGCGGCUUUUCCCCCCUCGCGCUCUUCCUUCCCGGCGAAUAACGACGGGGUGAUUCACGGAUAAUGGGGCGGCCGUCACCUCCUCAUUAAGCGCCGCGCUGCCGGCCCGACUCGCUGCCCUGGGGCCGGCGGGGCCCGGGGGAGGACGCCGGGCUCGGGCCUCCCCUAGGCGGGCUGCCGCAUGCAACAGGCUCCGGCGGGGACGGCCCUGCGGCUCCGGGGCUCGGCGGGGCCGUUCAGCGGCUGUCGCCUCCCGCAACCUCAGCUCUCAUCGCCUCCUCCUCCUCCUCAGCCCGCCCUCGCUCCCUCCUCCCC
rnacentral:lncRNA from 1 species